rnacentral:rRNA from 1 species
AACACCGGUGGCCCGAGUGGUGAUCGUGAUUAUUGGGUCUAAAGGGUCCGUAGCCGGUUGGUCAGUCCUCCGGGAAAUCUGAUAGCUCGAACUAUUAGGCUUUCGGGGGAUACUGCCAGACUUGGAACCGGGAGAGGUAAGAGGUACUACAGGGGUAGGAGUGAAAUCUUGUAAUCCCUGUGGGACCACCUGUGGCGAAGGCGUCUUACCAGAACGGGUUCGACGGUGAGGGACGAAAGCUGGGGGCACGAACCGGAUUAGAUACCCGGGUAGUCCCAGCCGUAAACGAUGCUCGCUAGGUGUCAGGCAUGGCGCGACCGUGUCUGGUGCCGCAGGGAAGCCGUGAAGCGAGCCACCUGGGUUAAGUACGGCCGCAAGGCUGAAACUUAAAGGAAUUGGCGGGGGAGCACAACAACGGGUGGAAGCCUGCGGUUUAAUUGGACUCAACGCCGGACAACUCACCGGGGGCGACAGCAAUAUGUAGGCCAAGCUGAAGACUUUGCCUGAAUCGCUGAGGAGUGGUGCAUGG